UACGGAGGAUGCGAGCGAUAUCCGGAUUUAUUGGGUUUAAAGGGUGCGCAGGCGGUCUGUUAAGUCAGCGGUCAAAGCCCGGGGCUCAACCCCGGCCCGCCGUUGAAACUGGCGGGCUGGAGUUGGAGAGAAGUACGCGGAAUGCGCGGUGUAGCGGUGAAAUGCUUAGAUAUCGCGCAGAACCCCGAUUGCGAAGGCAGCAUACCGGUGCACAACUGACGCUCAGGCACGAAAGCGUGGGUAUCGAACAGG
rnacentral:rRNA from 1 species